GACGAACGCUGGCGGCGUGCUUAACACAUGCAAGUCGAACGGAAAGGCCCUGCUUUUGUGGGUUUCUCGAGUGGCGAACGGGUGAGUAACACGUGAGUAACCUGCCCUUGACUUUGGGAUAACUUCAGGAAACUGGGGCUAAUACCGGAUAUGAGCUCCUGCUGCAUGUUGGGGGUUGGAAAGUUUCGGCGGUUGGGGAUGGACUCGCGGCUUAUCAGCUUGUUGGUGGGGUAGUGGCUUACCAAGGCUUUGACGGGUAGCCGGCCUGAGAGGGUGACCGGCGACAUUGGGACUGAGAUACGGCCCAGACUCCUACGGGAGGCAGCAGUGGGGAAUAUUGCACAAUGGGCGGAAGCCUGAUGCAGCAACGCCGCGUGCGGGAUGACGGCCUUCGGGUUGUAAACCGCUUUCGCCUGUGACGAAGCGUGAGUGACGGUAAUGGGUAAAGAAGCACCGGCUAACUACGUG
rnacentral:rRNA from 1 species